rnacentral:rRNA from 1 species
UACGUAGGGGGCAAGCGUUGUCCGGAUUUAUUGGGCGUAAAGAGCGUGUAGGCGGCCAUUCAGGUCAGCUGUGAAAACUCGAGGCUCAACCUCGAGACGUCGGUUGAAACCGUUUGGCGUAGAGUCCGGAAGAGGAGAGUGGAAUUCCCGGUGUAGCGGUGGAAUGCGCAGAUAUCAGGAGGAACACCAAUAGCGAAGGCAGCUCGCUGGGACGGUACUGGACGCUAAG